UACAGAGGUGGCAAGCGUUGUUCGGAUUUAUUGGGUUUAAAGGGUGCGUAGGCGGCUUUGUAAGUCAGUGGUGAAAUAUGGCAGCUCAACUGUCAAGGUGCCAUUGAUACUGCAGAGCUUGAGUACAGAUGAGGUAGGCGGAAUUGACGGUGUAGCGGUGAAAUGCUUAGAUAUCGUCAAGAACACCUAUAGCGAAGGCAGCUUACUAGGCUGUAACUGACGCUGAGGCACGAAAGUGUGGGGAUCAAACAGG
rnacentral:rRNA from 1 species